UGUCAAAUAUUGUUGUUAGAUUUUGUUUCUUUGUUUAUAAUACGUACGAACGACUCAUCUUCAUUUUAUUCUCUUGCAAUCAAAUGAAUAAUAUAUUGGAUUGUGAAAUCUUGUAACUUUUCAUUCCUUUCGAAAUAAGUUCGGAUUUUUGAAGACAUUAUUAUUAUUACUACUACUAUUACCAACAGGAACAACACUAAACGUCAAAUAAGAAGACGCCGUCAAGAGUGAUUUACCGAAGCAACCGAAAUAGAACAAGUAUUAUACGACUAAUUUCGUUGGAGAGGGAGGGAGAGAGAGAAAGAGAAAGAGAAAGAGAGAGAGAGAGAGAGAGUACUUGUCAAAAGUACAGAUAGUUUGCUUGGACUGAAAGAAACAAACGAGAAUCGAAGAAGAAGAAGAAGAAGAAAAA